rnacentral:rRNA from 1 species
UACGGAAGGGGGCUAGCGUUGCUCGGAAUCACUGGGCGGUAAGGGUGCGUAGGCGGGUCUUUUAAGGUCAGGGGUGAAAUCCUGGAGCUCAACUCCAGAACUGCCUUUGAUACUGAGGAUCUUGAGUUCGGGAGAGGUGAGUGGAACUGCGAGUGUAGAGGUGAAAUUCGUAGAUAUUCGCAAGAACACCAGUGGCGAAGGCGGCUCACUGGCCCGAUACUGACGCUGAGGCACGAAAGCGUGGGGAGCAAACAGG